CGGGUGAGUAACACGUGGAUAACCUACCUAUAAGACUGGGAUAACUUCGGGAAACCGGAGCUAAUACCGGAUAAUAUUUUGAACCGCAUGGUUCAAAGUGAAAGACGGUCUUGCUGUCACUUAUAGAUGGAUCCGCGCUGCAUUAGCUAGUUGGUAAGGUAACGGCUUACCAAGGCAACGAUGCAUAGCCGACCUGAGAGGGUGAUCGGCCACACUGGAACUGAGACACGGUCCAG
rnacentral:rRNA from 1 species